rnacentral:rRNA from 1 species
UGGGGAAUAUUGGACAAUGGGCGAAAGCCUGAUCCAGCCAUGCCGCGUGUGUGAAGAAGGUCUUCGGAUUGUAAAGCACUUUAAGUUGGGAGGAAGGGCAGUAAAUUAAUACUUUGCUGUUUUGACGUUACCGACAGAAUAAGCACCGGCUAACUCUGUGCCAGCAGCCGCGGUAAUACAGAGGGUGCAAGCGUUAAUCGGAAUUACUGGGCGUAAAGCGCGCGUAGGUGGUUCGUUAAGUUGGAUGUGAAAUCCCCGGGCUCAACCUGGGAACUGCAUUCAAAACUGACGAGCUAGAGUAUGGUAGAGGGUGGUGGAAUUUCCUGUGUAGCGGUGAAAUGCGUAGAUAUAGGAAGGAACACCAGUGGCGAAGGCGACCACCUGGACCUGUACUGACGCUCAUGCACGAAAGCGUGGGGAGCAAACAGGAUUAGAUACCCCCGUAGUCCCUGAGCGGGCUGGCAAGGCGCAU